GACGAGGGGUCCAAGCGUUGUUCGGAAUCAUUGGGCGUAAAGCGGGUGUAGGUGGCUUUGUAAGUCAGGAGUGAAAUCCCCGAGCUUAACUUGGGAAGUGCUUUUGAAACUGCAAAGCUUGAGUGUGGGAGAGGAUCGUGGAAUUCCAGGUGUAGUGGUGAAAUACGUAGAUAUCUGGAGGAACACCGGUGGCGAAGGCGGCGAUCUGGCCCAACACUGACGCUGAGGCACGAAAGCGUGGGGAGCAAACAGG
rnacentral:rRNA from 1 species